rnacentral:rRNA from 1 species
AUUGACGAUGGAUCACCAGUGAGUGGCGGACGGGUGAGUAACACGUAGGUAACCUGCCCCGGAGCGGGGGAUAACAUUUGGAAACAGAUGCUAAUACCGCAUAACAACAAAAGCCACAUGGCUUUUGUUUGAAAGAUGGCUUUGGCUAUCACUCUGGGAUGGACCUGCGGUGCAUUAGCUAGUUGGUAAGGUAACGGCUUACCAAGGCGAUGAUGCAUAGCCGAGUUGAGAGACUGAUCGGCCACAAUGGAACUGAGACACGGUCCAUACUCCUACGGGAGGCAGCAGUAGGGGAUCUUCCACAAUGGGCGCAAGCCUGAUGGAGCAACACCGCGUGAGUGAAGAAGGGUUUCGGCUCGUAAAGCUCUGUUGUUGGAGAAGAACGUGCGUGAGAGUAACUGUUCACGCAGUGACGGUAUCCAACCAGAAAGUCACGGCUAACUACGUGCCAGCAGCCGCGGUAAUACGUAGGUGGCAAGCGUUAUCCGGAUUUAUUGGGCGUAAAGCGAGCGCAGGCGGUUGCUUAGGUCUGAUGUGAAAGCCUUCGGCUUAACCGAAGAAGUGCAUCGGAAACCGGGCGACUUGAGUGCAGAAGAGGACAGUGGAACUCCAUGUGUAGCGGUGGAAUGCGUAGAUAUAUGGAAGAACACCAGUGGCGAAGGCGGCUGUCUGGUCUGCAACUGACGCUGAGGCUCGAAAGCAUGGGUAGCGAACAGGAUUAGAUACCCUGGGUAGUCCAUGCCCGUAAACGAAUGAGUGCUAGGUGUUGG